GCGGGCGUGGCGGAACUGGUAGACGCAGCGGACUUAAAAUCCGCAGCCGGGCAACCGGCGUGUCGGUUCGACCCCGACCGCCCGCA
rnacentral:tRNA from 1 species